rnacentral:rRNA from 1 species
UACGGAGGGUGCAAGCGUUGUCCGGAUUUAUUGGGUUUAAAGGGUGCGUAGGCGGUCUUUUAAGUCAGUGGUGAAAGCCUCCAGCUUAACUGGAGAAUUGCCAUUGAUACUGGAAGACUUGAGUACAGACGAGGUAGGCGGAAUUUAUGGUGUAGCGGUGAAAUGCAUAGAUACCAUAAAGAACUCCUAUUGCGAAGGCAGCUUACUAGGCUGUAACUGACGCUGAUGCACGAAAGCGUGGGGAUCAAACAGG